rnacentral:snRNA from 1 species
AGAUGGAAGAGUUACCUGGCUGCCACAUCUGUCACCCCAUUGAUCGUCAGAGUUGAUUCAGUUGAUUUGACUGCCUAGUCGGGUGUUCCCUUCUUCCCUCACCACUCCAUGUGCAUCCCUCCUUAAGCUGUGCACUCUGUCAAAGAGGACAAUUUUCCCUGAUAGAGACAUAUAGCUCAUCAGUCAAGUGUACACAGUAGCUGUGCUCCCCUGCUAGAACCUCCAAACAAGCUCACGGUCAAGUUGUAGGAGAACAUAGAGUAGUCAAGCUUCCAAGGCUGCAGACACAUUCAAGUGAGGCACUGCAUGGGGCAGUUUGCCAUUCUUU